CAAGCUUCCGUCCAAAUGCAAAACAAAAUUGUACAUAGAGUAAUUGUUUUAAAGAUAUUCUUCAUGUAGAAAGAUUUGUUUGGUGUGAAAGAUUUAUCAUGAUCAGUUGCACAGACUCCACAUCAGCAGCCAUGAAUUCCAGGAGCUACAACACGCAGUCCCCCACGGUAUCCUUCUGGGUGCAAGACAUGAAAUUUUCACACAGCCAUUAUCAUUCCUUAAAUCUCAACAGAGGACAGAGCACAAGUAACACGUACAGGUUGCUUCCUCCAACACUGCACAGCAGGGUGGAGCACGGCAACUACUCACUAGUGCCUAACAAGGGAGGAAGACAGCAUCUCUCAUGAAGCAUCAGGAGGAAUACAGGGACUCAUCGUCUCUAAUGAACUAUCAGGAGGAAUUCGGGGAGUCAUCAUGUGAAUUGCUUAAAGAGCAACUUGAGCAACACUCCUCCACGCACACAUACUUUUUUUUUUUUUCUGAUGAAAGUUCAUUAAUGAAUAAAAGUACUCAGGAAUUCAGUUUUAUAUUCAUCUUCAAUGUGGACAUAAACGGAGAAAUCAUGAGCUUUCAGUAUUCAGGUAGCAUUGCAGAUAAUUAUUAUUUACUUAUUCACUUAUUUAAGACAAGAACAUUGAAGGACCUUUUUAUUGCAACGGUAUAGGCUCAGUAUAAAUGGCAAUGAUUUGAUAUUGAUUUCUUACAGGUUGUUGUUGUGGUUCUUGGUUAUUCUGUUGUUUUAUUUUGUUAUUUUUUAAUUUGUUACAGGCAUUUUCUCUCUCAAGAAAUCUUAAUUUUCGGUUAAACCUUGUAAGGAAUGUUGCAAAAUGAAGGAGAGUUUGUCAAUGAGCCAAAAAUCAUCAUCAACUCCUUUAUUGUCAGGCAGCAGACCUGUUAAGCACGGCCCAGAUAAGUCCCAUGAAUCAGGAAGAGCAUAGUUGCGUGGAGGCAGAAUUGGCACAAGCUUACAAUGAAUAAGGUCACUCUUCCCAGGCUCGUAAAAGAUGGCAGCUUUACAACUGUAGAGUAACAAAUCUGUUUUUAUUUUUUACCCACAAAAUCACGUUGUUUCCUAAGCAGUGAAGAUUUUUUAAAAGGCUCCUUUAUACAGCUGCUUUCCAGCUGUGUGGUCCCAGCAUGUCCUGGUUCCAGGAACUUCUCCUGUCUGGAUUCAGGACUCUGCACUUCUCCUUAUUGAACUCCAUGAGAUUCCUGUCAUCCCACUCCAGACCGUUGGGGUCCCUAUGGAUGACUGCUUAAUCUGGUGAGUAAAGACGCUAGGACUCAGUUCCAUGUGCAGAAUUCCUGCAUGGUACUGUUAAACCACUUCCUUUCUCGGUAUUUCACUUCCUCAUUUGUAAUGGGAGUACAACCGAGCUCAGCUAUCUUGCAGGAAGUGGUGGAAGUUAGUAAGUUAAUGAAUGUCUAUAAGGAAAUUAGAAAGUCCACUGUCUAUCUGGUGUGGUAGUUCCCAUAUCCCAGUAAGAGAUGAAAAACAUAUGCAAAUCCUUAAUAUGAAUCCUUAGUAAAGUACUGGUUAAUUUCUGGUCGUUAUCAUGAAACAUAUUUUUAAUAUUCAUUACUUUUUAUGAUAAUUACAAACAACACGAGUGACUACAAACAUCAGUGCUUAUAAGCACAGUAAAAAACAGCUUGCCUGUUUCCAACUGAAGAAGCUGUUUCCCUUAAUACCAGACAUUCUGGUAAUUACCAUUUUUAUAACGUAAGCUGUUGGUAGUUUUUUUGGUUUUGUUUUUGUUUUUCCUUCUUUCAACUGUUCUAUCAUAUGGUACCUUCAUUAUUUAAUUCCAAAGCAAACCAAACAGCGAGCAUCUGCCUAGGGCAGUUUGGCGUGGGGGAAAAAUACACAUAACUCACAAAAGAAGAUGUGUGUAUGGGACGAUAAACUGUGAAAGCUAGGGCCAGAUGCAGCCUUGGAUGCCCCAUCCCUGGAGAUGUUCAAAGCCAGGUGGGAUGGGGCUGUGGGCAGCCUGAUCUGGUUGGAGCUCAGAGAUCUUUAACAUCCCAACACAAGGCAACCCAUCCCUGUGAUGCUGCGCCUCUGUGGUUGAAUUUUGUGAAAGGCAGAGGAUGAGGCACAGAACUGGAAGCUGCUGCAGUGGGAAGCGCUCCCUCCCUUGGCCACAGCGUUCGGUUUCUUUGUACUUCAGCGUCACCGUCUACGGAAUGGCUCAUUUGUAACCCAUCCUCCCUCACGCGUUAUAAGAUUUAUGAGUAUUAUUUUAUUUUGGCGAAAAAAAAGGGGUCGUUGAGGGAAGGUUUCAAACAAAUCUUCCGCGUGCGCCUUCACACUGACAAGUACCCUUUCUGCCGGGGCACUGACAGUCGCUAACACCACACGACGGCCGUCAGAAGGACUCGCCGGUGCUCCAAGCCCAGCUCGAGGCUCCCCGUACCGACGCCCUCACUCCCAGCUCGCGGCCGUCCGCCUGGAGGCAGCGCUGCGUUUCCAGGCGUGAAGCGGGAACGCGGGCCCC
ensembl:lncRNA